GACGAGCGCUGGCGGCGUGCUUAACACAUGCAAGUCGAACGGUAAGGCCCUUCGGGGUACACGAGUGGCGAACGGGUGAGUAACACGUGGGUGAUCUGCCCUGCACUUCGGGAUAAGCCUGGGAAACUGGGUCUAAUACCGGAUAGGACUCCUGCCUGCAUGGGUGGGGGUGGAAAGCUUUUGCGGUGUGGGAUGGGCCCGCGGCCUAUCAGCUUGUUGGUGGGGUGAUGGCCUCCAAGGCGACGACGGGUAGCCGGCCUGAGAGGGUGACCGGCCACACUGGGACUGAGAUACGGCCCAGACUCCUACGGGAGGCAGCAGUGGGGAAUAUUGCACAAUGGGCGCAAGCCUGAUGCAGCGACGCCGCGUGAGGGAUGACGGCCUUCGGGUUGUAAACCUCUUUCAGCACAGACGAAGCGCAAGUGACGGUAUGUGCAGAAGAAGGACCGGCCAACUACGUGCCAGCAGCCGCAGUAA
rnacentral:rRNA from 1 species